rnacentral:rRNA from 1 species
AAAUUGAAGAGUUUGAUCAUGGCUCAGAUUGAACGCUGGCGGCAGGCCUAACACAUGCAAGUCGAACGGUAACAGGAAGAAGCUUGCUUCUUUGCUGACGAGUGGCGGACGGGUGAGUAAUGUCUGGGAAACUGCCUGAUGGAGGGGGAUAACUACUGGAAACGGUAGCUAAUACCGCAUAACGUCGCAAGACCAAAGAGG